AGCAGUUGCGGUUAAACAUAGUAUACAAGUAAAAUUCAUUGGUUAAUAGUAUAAAUAAAAAAGAAUUAUUUAAUUUUUAAAUUUAAGGUAAAAUUUAGUUUAAAGUUAAAAUUGUAAUUAUUUUAUUCUAUUAAAUUUUUUUUGAAACUAGGAUUAGAUACCCUAUUAUAAAAAUUUAAAAUUAUUACUAAAAAAUUAAUAGUUAAGUUCUUUAAAUUUAAAAAAUUUGGCGGUAUUUUAGUCUUAUUAGAGGAACCUGUUUUUUAAUUGAUAAUCCACGAUUAAUUUUACUUAAUUUUAAAUUCAUAUAUCGCUGUCAUGAAUAUAUUAAAAAAUUUAUUUUCUUUAAUUAUUAUUUUAAUUUAUGUUAAGUCAAGAUGUGGUUAAUUUUUAAGAAAGUAAUGGGUUACAAUAAAUUUUAAUUUUGAAUUUAUAAUGAAAAUUGAUAAUGAAAUUGGAUUUAAUAGUAAAUUUAUUUAUUUAAAUAAAAUGAAUAUAGAUCUAAAAUAUGUACAUAUUGCCCGUCAUUCUUAUAAAAAAUAAGACAAGUCGUAACAAAGUAAAUGUACUGGAAAGUGUAUUUAGAAAGUAAUUAGAA
rnacentral:rRNA from 1 species